rnacentral:rRNA from 1 species
AAGUCUCCUGAAGGAACGUUGAAGACGACGACGUUGAUAGGCCGGGUGUGUAAGCGCAGUGAUGCGUUGAGCUAACCGGUACUAAUGAACCGUGAGGCUUAACCUU